ensembl:lncRNA
GUGUAGAUGUCUGUUUUCUCAGUUGUUUUACUGUGUGUCUCACUGUGACUCUUAUCCCUCGAUCUCCUCCCUCUGUUCGUUGGGUUUUGUCAGUCUGUGUUGCCGUGUGUGUCUCAUACUUCCUGUUUUUGACAGUCUCUGGUUCUGUGUGUACUAUGUUCAGCCAUGCUUCCCCAGGUGUGUCCUUUUUGCCCCGAUUCCCUUGUGUAUUUAGUGCCUCGGUCUCCCUCUGUCCGGUGUCAUGAUCUUCCCAGUUUUGUUCGGGGAAGCAGCCCUGUAUGCGUGUUCUCAGAACGUCGCUGUACAAACAGGAAGUGAUGUAUGCUGUGCUGGUCCACAGCCCAGACCACAAAGAACGCUUCAAAGACUUGUAUCCUGAGGUGUCUGAUGACCCGGAUGCCGUCUGUGCUUACAGACAUGGACACUUCAUCUGGAGGCCACAGGCCAUGUGUGAGACACACAA